ensembl:lncRNA
AGGACACAUAGGUAGAGUCCAUGGUGUGGUGCAGGUAGAACUGUGUCAGGUAGAAGAGGUGAUAGGUAGAACUGUGUCAGGUAGAAGAGGUGAUAGGUAGAACUGUGUCAGGUAGAAGAGGUGAUAGGUAGAACAGUGUCAGGUAGAAGAGGUGGUGAGGUAGAACUGUGUCAGGUAGAACUGUGUCAGGUAGAAGAGGUGAUAGGUAGAACUGUGUCAUGUAGAAGAGGUGAUAGGUAGAACUGUGUCAGGUAGAAGAGGUGAUAGGUGUGGUACCAGAUGGGACAGGACACAUCAACUUGAUAGACGGCAAUAAGAAUUUCACAGGACAUAAAACACAAUGUCACUAACCAUAAAGUGAAUGUCAUAACCUUGACUUGCCCAUUACAUACUGUCUCUACACUCUCCAGUACUCAUAGUGCCAUAAAAAACAAGCCUGGCAAUACAACGUUGUAGAGCAAG